CCACAGUGGCGGAUGUUGAGCAGAAGUUGUUGCUGUCGAUCAAGAAAAGCUCUGAGCUGUUGACUAGAUGAAGAUGAGCGAUCCAGACCCAAGAAGGCAGCUAUCAAAGCUUCCUGGCCUUUCAUUACAGCCACGCAGAACCACAGGUCUCGGUGUACUGAUGCAAGAGGAGCCCAACCAGCGCAGGAGAGCUCUGCAGGAAUGCUGCUAAGCUGCAGAUGUACCAGCCAAAUUACUCCAGAGGGGAAUUACCAGGCCAUAAAUCCAGACGUCAGAGAGGAGGGCUACAGCUUAUUUCACGCAUUUUGAGGAAAUCCCGGAGAGGAAGUGAGCUGCAGGGAGGAGAAAGCCGUGACCUCUCCCGGCCGCACCACCUUGGCCCAAGGAUUAAGAAAACAGCGGCCACUGACAAACGUCCAGGAAAUCAGAACCACAUGCUGGAAGGGAGGCAGGCUGAGGUACGCUCUCUCAAGUUAAGGCCCAGCUGACACCCGGGCCAAGGUGCAAAUUAGUGUCCAGUUGAGGAGCCGGAGGCUUUGCUGCAAAUCAAACCCACAGCAUUCACUUCUCAGAACAAUAAAAAUCCCUCCUGCUCCGGCUUUUCUUUUAGGAAUGAAAAUCACAACUCAGAAGCUGUUUCUGUGGGGGACUUUACUCAGUUACGUUUAAUUAAAAAAAAGAAAACUUUAAAGAGUAUUUUUACUUCUCUUUGCUUCUACCCGAGUAAUUUUAUUAUGAAGUAUCUCUGGAUUUAAACAUGUUUUAGGCAAAACAGACCCAGACACACACCUGCAGUUUUUGCAGUUGGUAAGAUUUUGUGUUUUUGCAGU